rnacentral:rRNA from 1 species
UACAGAGGGGCAAGCGUUGUUCGGAAUUACUGGGCGUAAAGGGCGCGUAGGCGGCCUUCUAAGUCGAACGUGAAAUCCCUGGGCUCAACCCAGGAACUGCGUCCGAUACUGGAAGGCUUGAAUCCGGGAGAGGGAUGCGGAAUUCCAGGUGUAGCGGUGAAAUGACGUAGAUAUCUGGAGGAACACCGGUGGCGAAGGCGGCAUCCUGGACCGGUAUUGACGCUGAUGAGCGAAAGCUAGGGGAGCAAACGGG